UUUACAGGGUAUAAACUAUUCCAAAGCCAUCAUGUUCAGUAGGUCGUCGAAAUUAAUGAUGAAGCUAGUGGAGAACGAAUCGUCCGUGGGAAAGUAAUACCACAGACGAGAGUACAUAAUCCGCCGUACGAAGUGAAAUUAGAGGAACUUUGCAUCUAUAAAUGCAAAACAGAAAUG
rnacentral:lncRNA from 1 species